UCUGGUUAGGGCGCCGGCCCUAACCAGCUCUGUUUCAACCCCUCUUUCAUAUGCUCUCCUCUCUCCCUUCCUAUAGAUCUCUCCUUCCUCUCUCUUAAACUGUCGAUCUCUCUCCCUCCUCUCUCUUCCUUACUCGAUCUCUCUUCCCACUGUAUCUCUAUCUAUCCCCACCUAAGAUCCUGUUGCCGACUGCCCUACCCACGCACGCCCUCUUGCUCUCUCCGAAUCUGUGGUUAAAGGCUUAAAUCUCUAGGAACAUUGAGGGCUGCUUUAAGACAUUUGAAGAUAGACUAUAUCAAGAAAUAAGAAUAUUGUCUACCAUACUUUUACCAUCCUAUGAAGGAAGACGAACUAGAACAAGAUACAGUUGUUCAAAUCAUGUAUCCUAUAGAACCUCCAGUCUGUAUCCAAGCUCUCUCUCUCUCUCUCUCUAUGAAUUAUAUGCCAAGUUAGCUUUUAAAAAAAAAGGGGCCAAGUUAUCUGCUGUUGAAUUCUCUUCCCUGUGUACAAUGAGAUAUUUUAUAGACACAAAACACUUGCAAAUGAACAAGGAUUCAAUUAAGACCAAGAACUUGGGCAAGAUGACACCUCCUGAUACUCAUGGAACUACCUCAAUCUGCAAGGGAGCAUGUUGUGCUUCAUUGGAAAAAUUUUCAAGACUUGCAACUAAUUUAACUUAUAGAGGUCUGCCUAGGUUGGCCCUCAAGCUGCAGUGGAGAUGGAGUCUCUCAUCUCCAGUAUCUGCACCACGGGCCUAUCAGAAUGAUUAUUCUGAUGGGCUACCUUGUAUAGGGGUUUACCUAAACCCAAGUUACAGCCUUAUUUUUCACUAUAGCACUCUUGUUAAUAAAAUUUCUUUUGUAGGGGAUGGGGGGUUGUAUAAUUUUAAUAUUUCUACAUCUAGUGUUCUGCUAGUUUUAGCAAGCAGGUCCCUUUCAUAAAUAGGUAUUAUGGCAAGGCUCACAAGGUCUUGUGAGGAAAACCAAGGCUCAGUUCACGACACCAUGGGGUUUUCCUCAAAAAUGAUCCUCUACAUUUUCGUAAAAGACUCAGAAGCAAAGAUAUUUAUCUUAAAAGAUCACAAGGCACAUGGCUAUCUCAAUUGCUUGAAGAUACUACAAGUGGGGGCUGCCAUGGAUCUUGCUUCUCUUAAUGUAUAAUUUUGAGAAAGGUAUACUUAAGAAUCUCAAAGGUACUGCUUCUUAUGCUUCCAAUUUCAAAGAAGCGGUUUCUUUUGGGUCUUCUUCUAUUCAGAAAUAAAAAUUUUGAGAUGCAUAAUCAGAGUUCAAGAUGAACUUAGAAUUUUCACUGCCUUAAGAGUAGGUAUGAUCUUUGUUUCUUUUAUUUGGAUUUAAAUUCUCCUCUGUUUGGGUCUGUUGUAUAGAACAUUAGAGAGAUGAAGCAAUUAGAACAGUUAUUUCAUUUUAUUUGUUUGCUAGUCUACUGGUUUUUCUCAUUGAGAAGGUAUUCCAAAAUUUCAGCAAUUAGCACUUUCGGAUAAAUAAAAUUCUGGUUUACUUCUUAAUGAGUAGUAUCUUAUGAGCCUUCUUUUGUGAGGGAACACUAUAAGUAUCAAGCCCAUGGAUGUUCUAGAUGAGUUGUAUUAGCCUCCAUUUCUUUUGUAUAUUGCGCCCAACUUGAGGAGCAAAAAGACUGAUUCUUGCGCAUGGCGCAUCUAACGGAAAGCUAGGGUCUCAUACACAUGUUCUAUAUUGGCAUGUACAGCUGCAUGUUGAUGGUCAUGAAUCCAUAUACAUGUGGGCUUAACCUCUGUUUUAUGUUAACUUGAUUUGGUUUUUGACUUAUUCGGUCCCAUAAUUUUGUAGGCAUUACAGCAUGUAUAAUCUUCAAUUGCAUAGUGUAGUUUUGUUGUAUAUAGAGAAUUCAGUGAGGAGCCAAUGUUUUUAGAUUUGUUUGCAUCCAAUUUAUGCUCUUAAGCCCAUAUUGAUGAAUAUAGUUAUUUCACAUAUUGAUCAAAACAUAAAACCAUGUCUCAUCUGUUGCCUUGAUGGAUCUUUUUUACCUUUUCCCUUUUCCCUUUUGGAGUUACAAAAGAAAUAAUAUGAGAUAUGGUUUAUCAUCUGGUACAUAUUCUCUUUUCUUUAUGCAACUCCAAGAAAUUCAUUGUUCAUUUUUCUUAAGGGCUUUCUUACUGACUACAGGCCUAUCUGUUAUUCAGAGAUUAGGAGUAUUUGUUCAUAUUCCAAGAAGCUUACAAGACUGCAAUGCAUUAUCUAUACCAUGUUCCUUGGUACGUGGAGGUAAACAUGAAUUCUGCUUCCAUGGUGUGGCCAUUAUUUAACAGUCUUCAGGCAUUCUGGCUUGGCCUUCAAGUACUUUUUCUUUUUUCUUCCUCCCUUUUCCAAGGAUUUCUACAGACUUCAUCCCAACGAUAUGUUUUGUGUCCUUGGAUCUUGAGUUUGCAUGAGUGGGGCCCAUGGACCUGGUAUCCAGAUAGUUGAUCUGAAAUCAUCCUAUCUUUGGCAUUUUUUCCAUUUAAUGUGAACUGUUACUAUUUUUUU